GGCUAACUAGCUCAGCUGGAUAGAGCACCGUGCUCAUAACACGGAGGUCCUGGGUUCGAUCCCCACGUUGGCCA
rnacentral:tRNA from 1 species